AUCUGAACUCAAACAGGCAAGAUUACCCGCUGAAUUUAAGCAUAUUAAUAAGCGGAGGAAAAGAAACUAACAAGGAUUCCCCUAGUAACGGCGAGUGAAGCGGGAACAGCUCAAGCUUGAAAUCUGCACCUUGUAAAAAGGGUGCCGAGUUGUAGCUUUUGGAGGCACUAUUGAGUGGCUAAUCUUGGUAAAAGUCCUUUUGAAUAAGGCAUCAAAGAGGGUGAAAAUCCCGUAUUUGACCAGGAGUGUAAAUUAGCUGCGAUAUCAAGUGUUUUCUUUGAGUCGGGUUGUUUGGGAAUGCAGCCCUAAUUAGGAGGUAAAUUUCUUCUAAAGCUAAAUAUCAGCAAGAGACCGAUAGCAUACAAGUACCGUGAGGGAAAGAUGAAAAGCACUUUGAAAAGAGAGUGAAAAGUACGUGAAAUUGUUGGAAGGGAACCGGUUGAUGACCAAGCUUUUUUGGCUUCCUUUCGGGGGAGUUGGAGGGUCAACAUCGGUUGUUUUAUGGCUAGAAGGGAUUUGCGGGUUGGCGGGGGAAAGGUAGUAAGCGUGUUGGGUAUUUAUACCUAGUGCGUUUAUGUUAUAGACCCCCACAGGCUCGCUUCAAAAGCUCUAUAGUUGUAGCGACCGAGGAAUGCAGUGUGUUUUUAUCCCUCGGGAUUUAGGGCGGUUUGUAGGGAUGCAUUUGUGGGGUUAUCUUUGGGGCUAGACAGCUUUGCUGACUAGUUCUGGUGCUCCAUAUGUACGCCUUGCAAGCUGACCAAGAAGCACUUUGGAUGUUGGCGAAAAGGCAUCAAUCGACCCGUCUUGAAACACGGACCAAGGAGUCCAACAUGCAUGCGAGUAUUUGGGAAAAGAUAAACCCAUGUGCGUAAUGAAAGUGAAUUUUAUUUAGAAUGUGACCUGCUUUAUUGUGGGGCAACAUCAACCGACUUUAGAUAGCGCUGCUUGAAAAGGUUGAGUAAGAGCAUGUAUGCUGGGACCCGAAAGAUGGUGAACUAUGCCUGAAUAGGGUGAAGUCAGAGGAAACUCUGAUGGAAGCUCGUAGAGAUUCUGACGUGCAAAUCGAUCUCAAAAUUUGGGUAUAGGGGC
rnacentral:rRNA from 1 species